GUUGGUAUGGUGCAACGGUAGCAUAUCUCACCCCUUGUUUAGUGAGAAGAUCUAGUUUCGAUUACUAGUGCCAGCC